rnacentral:tRNA from 1 species
GGCGGAAUGGCGAAAUCGGUAGACGCAGCGGCCUUAAAAGCCGCUCCGGUGCAAACCGGGUGUGGAUUCGAGCUCCACUUCCGCCACCA